UACGUAGGGUCCGAGCGUUGUCCGGAAUUAUUGGGCGUAAAGAGCUCGUAGGCGGUGUGUCACGUCGGCCGUGAAAACCUGGGGCUUAACUCUGGGCGUGCGGUCGAUACGGGCAUCACUAGAGUUCGGCAGGGGAGACUGGAAUUCCUGGUGUAGCGGUGAAAUGCGCAGAUAUCAGGAGGAACACCGGUGGCGAAGGCGGGUCUCUGGGCCGAUACUGACGCUGAGGAGCGAAAGCAUGGGUAGCGAACAGG
rnacentral:rRNA from 1 species